UACCCGCAGCACAAGUGGUGGUCAUUAUUAUUGGGCCUAAAGCGUCCGUAGCUGGCUUGUUAGAUGCCUGGGUAAAUCGAUGCGCUCAACGUAUCGAACUCCGGGUAGACCGGCAAGCUUGGGGCCGGGAGAGGCGUGAGCUACUCGAGGGGUAGGGGUAAAAUCCUGUAAUCCUUCGGGGAGGACCAGUGGCGAAGGCGUCACGCUAGAACGGCUCCGACAGUGAGGGACGAAGCCCUGGGGCGCAAACCGG
rnacentral:rRNA from 1 species